GGGUUGUGAGGUUAAGCGACUAAGCGUACACGGUGGAUGCCCUGGCAGUCAGAGGCGAUGAAGGACGUGCUAAUCUGCGAUAAGCGUCGGUAAGGUGAUAUGAACCAUUAUAACCGGCGAUUUCCGAAUGGGGAAACCCAGUGUGAUUCGUCACACUAUCAUUAACUGAAUCCAUAGGUUAAUGAGGCGAACCGGGGGAACUGAAACAUCUAAGUACCCCGAGGAAAAGAAAUCAACCGAGAUUCCCCCAGUAGCGGCGAGCGAACGGGGAGCAGCCCAGAGCCUGAAUCAGUGUGUGUGUUAGUGGAAGCGUCUGGAAAGGCGUGCGAUACAGGGUGACAGCCCCGUACACAAAAAUGCACAUAUUGUGAGCUCGAUGAGUAGGGCGGGACACGUGGUAUCCUGUCUGAAUAUGGGGGGACCAUCCUCCAAGGCUAAAUACUCCUGACUGACCGAUAGUGAACCAGUACCGUGAGGGAAAGGCGAAAAGAACCCCGGCGAGGGGAGUGAAAAAGAACCUGAAACCGUGUACGUACAAGCAGUGGGAGCACGCUUAGGCGUGUGACUGCGUACCUUUUGUAUAAUGGGUCAGCGACUUAUAUUCUGUAGCAAGGUUAACCGAAUAGGGGAGCCGAAGGGAAACCGAGUCUUAACUGGGCGUUAAGUUGCAGGGUAUAGACCCGAAACCCGGUGAUCUAGCCAUGGGCAGGUUGAAGGUUGGGUAACACUAACUGGAGGACCGAACCGACUAAUGUUGAAAAAUUAGCGGAUGACUUGUGGCUGGGGGUGAAAGGCCAAUCAAACCGGGAGAUAGCUGGUUCUCCCCGAAAGCUAUUUAGGUAGCGCCUCGUGAAUUCAUCUCCGGGGGUAGAGCACUGUUUCGGCAAGGGGGUCAUCCCGACUUACCAACCCGAUGCAAACUGCGAAUACCGGAGAAUGUUAUCACGGGAGACACACGGCGGGUGCUAACGUCCGUCGUGAAGAGGGAAACAACCCAGACCGCCAGCUAAGGUCCCAAAGUCAUGGUUAAGUGGGAAACGAUGUGGGAAGGCCCAGACAGCCAGGAUGUUGGCUUAGAAGCAGCCAUCAUUUAAAGAAAGCGUAAUAGCUCACUGGUCGAGUCGGCCUGCGCGGAAGAUGUAACGGGGCUAAACCAUGCACCGAAGCUGCGGCAGCGACGCUGAUGCGUUGUUGGGUAGGGGAGCGUUCUGUAAGCCUGUGAAGGUGUGCUGUGAGGUAUGCUGGAGGUAUCAGAAGUGCGAAUGCUGACAUAAGUAACGAUAAAGCGGGUGAAAAGCCCGCUCGCCGGAAGACCAAGGGUUCCUGUCCAACGUUAAUCGGGGCAGGGUGAGUCGACCCCUAAGGCGAGGCCGAAAGGCGUAGUCGAUGGGAAACAGGUUAAUAUUCCUGUACUUGGUGUUACUGCGAAGGGGGGACGGAGAAGGCUAUGUUGGCCGGGCGACGGUUGUCCCGGUUUAAGCGUGUAGGCUGGUUUUCCA
rnacentral:rRNA from 1 species